rnacentral:rRNA from 1 species
CCUACGGGAGGCAGCAGUGAGGAAUAUUGGUCAAUGGACGAGAGUCUGAACCAGCCAAGUAGCGUGAAGGAUGACUGCCCUAUGGGUUGUAAACUUCUUUUAUCUGGGAAUAAAAUGAUCCACGUGUGGGAUUUUGUAUGUACCAUAUGAAUAAGGAUCGGCUAACUCCGUGCCAGCAGCGGCGGUAAUACGGAGGAUCCGAGCUUUAUCCGGAUUUAUUGGGUUAAAAGGGAGCGUAGGUGGAUUGUUAAGUAAGUUGUGAAAGUUUGCGGCUCAACCGGAAAAUUGCAGUUGAAACUGGCAGUCUUGAGUACAGUAGAGGUGGGCGGAAUUCGUGGUGUAGCGGUGAAAUGCUUAGAUAUCACGAAGAACUCCGAUUGCGAAGGCAGUUCACUGGACUGCAACUGACACUGAGGCUCGAAAGUGUGGGUAUCAAACAGGAUUAGAUACCCUGGUAGUC